rnacentral:tRNA from 1 species
CACUAGGUAGCUAAAAGUUAGCAAUGGUCUCUUAAACCAUUUUAUAGUAUAGUAACGCAUUACUCCUAAUGA